CGCAUGUCUGGGGGUGGAAAGCUCCGGCGGUGCAGGAUGAGCCCGCGGCCUAUCAGCUUGUUGGUGGGGUGAUGGCCUACCAAGGCGACGACGGGUAGCCGGCCUGAGAGGGCGACCGGCCACACUGGGACUGNGACACGGCCCAGACUCCUACGGGAGGCAGCAGUGGGGAAUAUUGCACAAUGGGCGCAAGCCUGAUGCAGCGACGCCGCGUGAGGGAUGACGGCCUUCGGGUUGUAAACCUCUUUCAGCAGGGAAGAAGCUCCUUGGGGUGACGGUACCUGCAGAAGAAGCGCCGGCUAACUACGUGCCAGCAGCCGCGGUAAUACGUAGGGCGCAAACGUUGUCCGGAAUUAUUGGGCGUAAAGAGCUCGUAGGCGGCUUGUCGCGUCGGAUGUGAAAGCCCGGGGCUUAACCCCGGGUCUGCAUUCGAUACGGGCAGGCUGGAGUUCGGUAGGGGAGAUCGGAAUUCCUGGUGUAGCGGUGGAAUGCGCAGAUAUCAGGAGGAACACCGGUGGCGAAGGCGGAUCUCUGGGCCGAUACUGACGCUGAGGAGCGGAAGCGUGGGGAGCGAACAGGAUUAGAUACUCUGGUAGUCCACGCCGUAAACGGUGGGCACUAGGUGUGGGCGGCAUUCCACGUCGUCCGUGCCGUAGCUAACGCAUUANGUGCCCCGCCUGGGGAGUACGGCCGCAAGGCUAAAACUCAAAGGAAUUGACGNGGGCCCGCACAAGCGGCGGAGCAUGUGGCNUAAUUCGACGCAACGCGAAGAACCUUACCAAGGCUUGACAUACACCGGAAAACCGUGGAGACACGGUCCCCCUUGUGGUCGGUGUACAGGUGGUGCAUGGCUGUCGUCAGCUCGUGUCGUGAGAUGUUGGGUUAAGUCCCGCAACGAGCGCAACCCUUGUCCUGUGUUGCCAGCACGCUCCCUUUGGGGGUGGUGGGGACUCACGGGAGACU
rnacentral:rRNA from 1 species